AAGGCCAAUUACUUGCCAUUCGGUAUCGACUUUCCAACAGGACAAACGGGAAGAGCUACCAAUGGAAGAACCAAAGUUGACAUAAUUGGCGAACUACUUCGAUUUGAGAAAUUCAUCCCACCUUUUGCAAAUACUACUGGCUAUGAUAUACUCAAAGGUGUUAACUAUGCAUCUAGUUCAGCUGGAAUUCGUUACGAAACAGGAAAAAAAACAGCGAUUAAUAAUAUCGCAUUGGGAUUACAGUUACAAAAUCACAUAAUCACAGUGUCCAGAAUUGUUGCCAAGCUUGGCGGUUUGCGACAAGCCCAAAAUCAUUUGUCAAAGUGCUUGUAUUAUGUAUAUAUAGGCACCAACGAUUACGCACUAAAUUAUUUUCAACCCGAUCUCUAUCCAUCAAGUAGCAUCUAUAACC